rnacentral:rRNA from 1 species
AUUGAACGCUGGCGGCAUGCUUUACACAUGCAAGUCGAACGGUAACAGGCCGCAAGGUGCUGACGAGUGGCGAACGGGUGAGUAAUGCAUCGGAACGUGCCCAGGCGUGGGGGAUAACUACUCGAAAGAGUAGCUAAUACCGCAUACGAUCUAUGGAUGAAAGCGGGGGACCGUAAGGCCUCGCGCGAUUGGAGCGGCCGAUGUCAGAUUAGGUAGUUGGUGGGGUAAAGGCUCGCCAAGCCAACGAUCUGUAGCUGGUCUGAGAGGACGACCAGCCACACUGGGACUGAGACACGGCCCAGACUCCUACGGGAGGCAGCAGUGGGGAAUUUUGGACAAUGGGCGCAAGCCUGAUCCAGCAAUGCCGCGUGCAGGAAGAAGGCCUUCGGGUUGUAAACUGCUUUUGUACGGAACGAAACGGCUCUGGUUAAUACCCGGGGCUAAUGACGGUACCGUAAGAAUAAGCACCGGCUAACUACGUG